AUUGAUUGCCGACAGAAGUGACAGCCGGGUCCCGCGCAACGGACGGUCGUGAACCCCGUCAGGCCCGGAAGGGAGCAGCGGUAAUGGCCUCAGCCGUGUGCCGCGGGGGUGCCUGGCUGUCACUUGUGCCGGCAAUUUUUAUU
rnacentral:SRP_RNA from 1 species